GACGAACGCUGGCGGCGUGCUUAAUACAUGCAAGUCGAACGCGCCUGUCCUCUGGGUUUCUGGGGGGUGGGUGAGUGGCGAACGGGUGAGUAACACGUGAGUAACCUGCCCCCUUCUUCGGGAUAACGGUCUGAAAGGGCUGCUAAUACCGGGUAUUCACUGGUCUCCGCAUGGGGUCUGGUGGAAAGGUUUUUUUCUGGUGGGGGAUGGGCUCGCGGCCUAUCAGCUUGUUGGUGGGGUGAUGGCCCACCAAGGCUUUGACGGGUAGCCGGCCUGAGAGGGUGACCGGUCACAUUGGGACUGAGAUCCGGCCCAGACUCCUACGGGAGGCAGCAGUGGGGAAUAUUGCACAAUGGGCGCAAGCCUGAUGCAGCGACGCCGCGUGAGGGAUGGAGGCCUUCGGGUUGUGAACCUCUUUCGCCCGUGGUCAAGCCGCGACGUGGGUCGUGGUGAGGGUAGUGGGUAAAGAAGCGCCGGCUAACUACGUG
rnacentral:rRNA from 1 species